rnacentral:lncRNA from 1 species
UCUGCUUCAACUAUGGAGAAUGUUCUUCCACUUUUAUAGUUUCUCGGAUUAUACCUUGCUUUAAUUGUUACAUUAGAACCAUGCUGGCUCUUGAUUAUUGUCGAAGGAUUGUACCAGCUUUAAUACCACUUUGUUGGAAUUUGGCAGUGGAUACUUCUUGUAUAUAUACUCUAAUACCACUUUGUAAAGAUGGAUAGAGAAGUACUCAAUCACAUAUGAU